rnacentral:misc_RNA from 1 species
CUGGGCUCCUCCACUCUAUUCAAAUCAAGAUCAAGCCCCCCAGAGCUACGUACAGGUGCAGAACCCAUUAUUUCAUCAUGUGACAGAUUAUGAUUACUUGAAAGGUCAGCUACAGAAUCUGAACCACGAGCAGAGUCUCGAGAAGCCAAAUCAUCAAGGAUUCUUUCAUCUGGAACAUUCAAAUCAAAAUCCAAUGGUGGACGACUGGGCUUGACCACAGCUGCAUUAGAGACUGAGAUAUUAGCCAUACCUACUGACAUCUCCAAGGGUUUUCUAGGUUCAGCCGGACGAAAAGCACUUGUGGCUGCUGAUCCCUUCCAACC